rnacentral:lncRNA from 1 species
CAAAAGGCAGCCUGCUUCCAGCAGCUCUGUAUUCCCCCAGAUUCUCCUUCCUUCCUUCCCUUACCCUGAGGUGGACUCUCUCAACAACUUCUAUUUCUUAUUCUGGAUGUUUCAAGAGAGGCUUGUUCACCACUGAAGAAGGAUACUAUGCUGUACUUGAAGCGAUGCUCCCCUCUCCAUUACAGCAGUAAUGUGACAAGAUGGUUAAGCACCUGAUGGUCAGGAAGGUGAUUCCAGGCCACCACUUCUGGAGACAUCAACUGCCCCUGCUAUGAGAUGGAGCCCUCUCUGAAGUGGGGAAACAUGAGGAGGAGAACGCGUGCCGUGAUUUCCACAUCUGCCAGCCCGCUCCGAUGUGCGCUGCCGAGGGAUGGGAUUGGCUGGUGGUGGAUGGGAACACAUUAAUCUGAAUAUGUAUAAACAUAAACCAUCCUGAGAAGCUACUGCCCGGCUUCAUAUCCUGCCCUCCCUCCUCCACAUAUUGAAUUAGUGCAUUUAUAAUGGCAUCUUUGUUUAUUUAAUAAAUCUAAAUUUCAAUUAGAG